rnacentral:lncRNA from 1 species
GUCACACAGGGAAGCUGUGGGCUCUGAGGCACAUAAAGCAAAGCCGACCUAAAAUAAAAACAUAACCUUACACAAGUCACAGGGCACUUUCCCAAGGUCCGAGGAGUAACGGUCCACAGGGCUGUCUGAAGGUCACUCCUGCAUGUAACCCCUGUACAUCUGACCAAUAAACUCCUUGGUUCACCAAGGUGGGCUUCACCGUGGUCGAUACCUGUGUGAGUGGAUGGGGGAGUGUAGUGUAUGCGCAGGGAUGUAGGUGCCUGGAGCCACCUCCCCUACUGCUCUCUGCCUUAUACCCUUGAGACAGAGUCUCUCUUCCUGUAUCUAGAGCUAGGCUGGCUGCAUACCAGCCCCCAAGCAAUCCUUUGGUCUCCACCCGGACUCACACACUCCCUAGAACAAAGGUUCUGGAUACCUCAGGUGCUCCUGCCUGUGCAGCGAAACCUCUUACCCCCACUGAGCAGUCAGCUCCUGUUACUUUGACCCACUGUCAGAGUUCUGUCUGGGACAAGUUAAUUUCACAUUAUGUUAGAGCAACAAUACUUAAGAAUGACCUUAUAUGGAAAUAGGCGCUUUCCAGAGCAUGGUAGUACAGGCCUGUCACACUAGCAAUUCGAGGCAGGGGAACCACAAAUCCAAGACAAAACCUGAGCUGCCUAGAGAGACUCCGGAAACAAAAUUACCAUUUUAACCUUUUGUGUGCGGAGGGGUGCAUGUUCAUGCAGAGGUGUGUACAUGUGUGUGGUGGCCUGAAGUUGUCACCAAGUGUGGUGGUGAUUUGAAUAGGUAUGGCCCCCAUAGACUGCUGUGUGAAUGCUUGGCCCAUUGGAGGCGUGGCCUUGGAGUGGGUGUGGCCUUAGUGGGAGAAAGUGUAUCAAUGCAGGGGCAAGCUUUAAGGUCUCCUAUUCUCAAACUAUGCCCAGAGUGGCACACAGUCCCCUUCUGCUGCCUGCUGAUCAAGAUGUAGAACUCUCAGCUCCUUCUCCAGCACCAUGUCUGCCUGCAGGCUGCCAUGCUUCCCGCCAUGAUGAUAAUGGACUGGACCUCUGAACUGUAAGCCAGCCCCAAGUAAAUGCUUUCCUUUAUAAGAGUUGCCUUGGUCAUGGUGUCUCUUGACAACAAUAAAACCUUAAACAAGUGUCUUUGUGCUCUGUGCACGUUAUCUAUAUGGGCAGGAUCUGCUAGGCAUGUUUAAUUCCAGCACUGAGGAGACAAAGGCAGGUAGAGCUCUGUGAGUUUGAGGCCAGCCUGGUCUACAGAGCAAGUUCCAGGAUAGCCAGGGUUACAUGGAGAAAUGGGAGGCAGGGAGGUGGGGAUGGGCAAGAUCUCUCACUGAGCCUUGAUCUGAGUCUUGCCCAGGAAUCCUCGAUUUACUAACCUUGGAGUCUUGGAUUGCAGGCAGCUGGCACAGCUGCUUCUGGGCACCCAAGCUCCUCCCACUCUCAGUGCUGUGCCUUAUCUGGAGUUAUCUCCCCAACUCCUUCUUUAACCAGUUUUUUUGGUUGGUUGGUUAGUUGUUUUGUUUUGUUUUGGUGGGGGGGGGUGGAGACAGGGUCUCACUAUGUAGACUAGGCCAGCCUUGAACUCACAAGUGAUCUGUCUGCUUCUGCCUCACAAAUGCUGGGAUUAAAGGUUUGUACCACUACGUUCAGCUUAGCUAGUUUUUAAAUUUUUUAAUAUUUAUUUUUUUAUUUAUGGUGUAUGUGUGUUCACAGAGUAUGCACAUGCCACAGUGCGAAUCUGGAGGUCAGAGGAGAAACUGCAGACGAGGCUUCUUAUUCUACCAUGGAGGUGCCUAAUAUCAAACUCUGGUUGUCAGGCUUUGUGGCAAAGACAGAGACAUGGCACUGGCUUGCCAUUUUAACCACUUUUGUUUAUAUAAAACUUUUAUUUAUUUAUUUAUGUAUAUGAAUACACUGUAACUGUCCUCAGGCACACCAGAAGAGGGCGUCAGAUCCCAUUGCAGAUGGUUGUGAGCCACCAUGUGGUUGUUGGGAAUUGAACUCAGGACCUCUAGAAGAGCAGUCAGUGCUCUUAACCACUGAGCCAUCUCUCCAGCCCAUUUUAACCAUUUUAAAAACACUUUCUUUGUAUUUGUUUUAAUUAUAUGCCCCCCGUAUGUGUUUUUGUGCAUGGGAGUGUGUAUGGAUGUAUGUAUGAGGGUAUGUGUGUGUGUGUGUGGGUGUAUAUAUGGAUAUGUGUUGGAUGUAUGUAUGAGGGUGUGUGUGUGUAUGACUGUGUAUAGGUGUAUGUAUGAGGGUGUGUGUGUAUGAGUGUGUGUGUAUGGGAGUUUAUGUGUAUGUAUAUAUGUGUACUGUAUGUGUAUGGGUGUAUGUAUGAGGGUGUGUGUGUAUGGGUGUAUAUAUGGGUAUGUGUUGGGUGUAUGUAUGAGGGGGGUGUGUAUGAUUGUGUGUAUGGGUGUAUGUAUGAGGGUGUGUGUGUAUGAGUGUGUGUGUAUGGGAGUUUAUGUGUAUGUAUAUAUGUGUAUUGUAUGUGUAUGGGUGUAUGUAUGAGGGUGUGUGUGUGUAUGAGGGUGUAUGUGUAUGUAUAUAUGUGUGUGUGUGUUUGGGUGUAUAUAUGGUUAUGUGUGUGGGUGUAUGUAUGAGAGUGUGUGUGUGUUGGGUGUAUAUAUGGUUAUGUGUGUGGUUGUAUGUAUGAGAGUGUGUGUGUGUUUGGGUGUUGUGUGUAUGAGUGUGUGUAUGGGGGUUUAUAUGUGUGUGUAUAUAUGUGAUUGAAUGUGUGUAUGGGUCUGUGUUUAUGUGUGUAUGUUUAUAUGUGCCUGCUUUUUAACAAUUUUCAAUUUGUUCAAUUUUACCAAUAAAGACUCAGGAGCCAGAUGCUGGGGUGAAAGCCUACUAGCUCAGAGAGGCAGAGAAAGCACCCAGCUGACCUUUCUCCUCAGCUGAUGUCCCAGAAGGAAUGUUCUCUUUCCUGCUGGUUCAAAAAAACCACCCUUCAAGCGAAGUGACCCUCCCUCCUCCUUCCUGUAUCUCUCCACUCAUCUUCCUGACUCCCUCUCACUCUCUAUGUUUUUUUUCUUUUCUUUUUUCUUUUUUUUUUGGGGGGGGGGAGGGGGAGAGGGGUUCGAGACAGGGUUUCUCUCCCUGGCUGUUCUGGAACUCACUCUGUAGACCAGGCUGGCCUCGAACUCAGAAAUCCACCUGCCUCUGCCUCCCAAGUGCUGGAAUUAAAGGCGUGCCCCAGCACUGCCCAGCUUGGCUUUUUCUUAAUAAUCCUACCUUCACUUCUUGUCAACUGGUUGCUUACCCUGCCUCUUGACCUGUGGCUGACUUUAUUUAAUCCUGUUUACAAUAUUCAAGCAGAAAGCUCUUGGAUUAAAUGUCUAAACCACAUUACAACUAGAAACAGGUUUUUCCAAUAAAUAAUACAAUCUUUGGGUUCACAGUAGAAAUAUCCUGCAACGUGUGUGUGUGUGUGUGUGUGUGUAUCCAUAUCCAUACACACACACACACAUGAUGCAGAAUAUUUAUAUAUACAUGUAUGUGUGUGUGUGUGUGUGAGAAUGCAUGCAUAUGGGUAUGUGUAUGGGAGUGGUAUAGGUAUGGCUGUGUGGGGUGGUAUGGAUGUGUGCUCGGGUGGGGAGGUGGGUAAAGGUGUGUGAUUGUGUGGGGGAGAGAGAUGUGUGUGGGCAUGGAUGUGGGGAGUAUGGAUGGGUAUGUGUGUGGGUGUGAGCCACCUGUCCUGGGUGCUGGGAACUGAACCUAGGUCCUAUGCAAAAGCUCUAAGUGCUGCUUACCCACUGAGCUGUCUCUGCAGCCCUACAUGUUAGCCAUUUUAAAACACAUGUGCAUGGGUUAUGGGUUUAUGGUAUUGUAAAGCCAUCACUAGCAUCCAUCCAGAGAGCUCACUCAUCCUCCCAAGCUGAACCUCUGUUGCCAUUAACUACAGUCCCUUCUACACACACACACACACACACACACACACACACACUAACUACAGUCCCUUCUACACACACACACACACGUACACACACACACACAUUAACUACAGUCCCUUCUACACACACACACA